rnacentral:rRNA from 1 species
GACGAACGCUGGCGGCGUGCCUAAUACAUGCAAGUUGAGCGCUGAAGGUUGGUCCUUGUACCAACUGGAUGAGCAGCGAACGGGUGAGUAACGCGUGGGGAAUCUGCCUUUGAGCGGGGGACAACAUUUGGAAACGAAUGCUAAUACCGCAUAAAAACUUUAAACACAAGUUUUAAGUUUGAAAGAUGCAAUUGCAUCACUCAAAGAUGAUCCCGCGUUGUAUUAGCUAGUUGGUGAGGUAAAGGCUCACCAAGGCGAUGAUACAUAGCCGACCUGAGAGGGUGAUAGGCCACAUUGGGACUGAGACACGGCCCAAACUCCUACGGGAGGCAGCAGUAGGGAAUCUUCGGCAAUGGACGAAAGUCUGACCGAGCAACGCCGCGGGAGUGAAGAAGGUUGUCGGAUCGUAAAACUCUGUUGGUAGAGAAGAACGUUGGUGAGAGUGGAAAGCUCAUCAAGUGACGGUAACUACACAGAAAGGGACGGCUAACUACGUG